GUGGCGGGGGAGGGGUGCGGGUUGGGAGCUGGUGCCGCUGGCAGGAAGUGCAUGUGUUUCCCCGUGCGAGUAUCUGCUCUCCCCAUGCAUCAUGGCUGUGUGGACUCGAGCCUCCAAGUCUGGGCUCCUGGACCUCCUCUUACAGGAUCACUGGGUCCGUGUCCAGGCUGAACUCACGGGAGACAGUCUUACUUUGACUUCAGACCCGGAGCCGUGCGGAGCUUUCAAUGGUCUCAGCAAUGGCACUGAACUGGCCCCAGGCAGUCCCCGGAGGGGCCCCACUAGUCACAACUCUCCCCGGGCAGACUCCGAAUCCGCCUUGAGCAGCCCCGGAAGUCGCUACCACCUGGACGUCCCCGCCAUGGACUUGGGCUGCGAACCUGCGCGGAAGGUGCGAGUAGUAAAGCAGGAAUCGGGCGGCCUGGGAAUCAGCAUCAAGGGAGGCCAGGAGAACCGCAUGCCCAUCCUCAUCUCCAAGAUCUUCCCCGGGCUGGCAGCGGAUCAGAGCCGGGCACUGAGGGUCGGAGAUGCCAUCUUGUCGGUGAAUGGCGCUGACCUACGCGGUGCGACUCAUGACCAGGCUGUGCAAGUGCUGAAGAAGGCGGGCAAGGAGGUGACCCUGGAGGUGCGCUUCCUGCAAGAUGUGUCUCCCUACAUCCGAAAGGCUUCGCUUGUGGGAGAUCUGCUAUGGGACAGCUGUGACGUCCGCUCACCUGUCCACAGUGAUAUCUCUGGGUCUCCCAACCACCAUUCCAAUGAUUGCAAGGUCAUCCCUCUUAAAAUGUGUUACUCAGCCAGGAACCUAAGCGUGUCAGAUCCUGAAGGAAGGCUGGUGGAGCUGCUCUCUCCUGAUGGUUGUCACUCCAUUGUGCUCCGAUGCAGAGAUUCAGCAUCUGCACUUUCUUGGUCACUAGCUUUACACAAUAACAUCACUGCUCUCCUGCCUCAAGUUCUCGCUGAGACACACACCAUGUUGGGUCCCACAGGUGAAGACAUUAGACAUUUGGGAUGGGUGGCAGAACAGGUGUCUCAGGAUGAUGGGCGCCCACUCUGGCAGCCAGUACUCGCUGCGGUUUCACAGAAGGAUUUUCUUCUCUUUGACGCAAUGCCGAGAACACGAGAGGAGUGGACAAAACCAAAACACAGACUGCCGCUGAUAUCUACCAGGUUGGUUCACUCUGGUCCUGGACAAAGUUCUCCCUCCCUGGGGUCACAUCUCACAUUUGGUAGUCGCACAGGUUGCCCCCAAGGCAUUGAUAGGAGAGUCUUUCGUGUGGAGUCUCAGCUAGAGCUUUCUACAUGGACACGAGCACUUGUGCAAGGAUGUCAUGCUUCUGCAGAACUCACGCGUGAAGUCACAGUCAGUUGUGCCCUACGUGAGCAAGAGGUCUCAGUCAUUCUACACUACGAUACUGGCUUCACUGUUUGCCAAGGUGGGCCUUCAGGCCCAGUGUUGCACAGAUAUCCUUAUGAGAAACUCCGAAUGUCUGCUGAUGAUGGAAUCAGACACCUGUAUCUGGACUUUGGGGGACCAGAGGGAGAAAUGAUAACGUUGUGAGUCGUAGAAUAAUGCUAUGCUCUCUGACCAGACCCUUUCCCCAGAUGAUAGAUGUCAUGGCAUGUGAGGAAUGGACUCUGGAUUUGCACACUUGCCCAAAGCCUGUAGUAUUCCUGUUACACACAUUCCUUUCUGCUAAAGUCUCCCGCAUGGGUCUGCUGGCCUGACCCUGGAUUGCCAUUGACUGUACAGGCAGACUAUAUAUGCAAAGGGAUAUUGCUCUUCCCAGUGCCUUUCAAUGACAAUCAGAAUUAGUUACCAAAGGACAAAGCACAGAAAACCUUUUAAAUGAGUUGAGGAUCUGGUCCCUAGGAAGACCGUGACACAGAACUCCACAUGUGUUUUUCCCAACAGAGGACUUAGGGAGAGGAGAACUGCUGUCUGUUUAUUACAAGGACGCAAAGAAACAAGUUGAAAUUUAAAACCCAAGCGUGCCCUCCAGUAUCAAACCUCAAGUUUCUAGGUUUUGGACCAAAAAGAUGCAUAUAAUAGGAAAUGGAUGUUUUUAUCACUAUGAUCACAUGAGCAGAAAAAAAUGUUCGAUAGAUGAUCAUGUGAUCCACAGAUUUGUUCCAUUCUGUUACAAGAGGAGAGUGACAGCUUUAAGUAUUUUAUAAUUGCAGUGACAAUCUUUGU